rnacentral:lncRNA from 1 species
UGCCUUGGCUAAGGUCUUUCAAACUCAAUCUCAUAAAUCACAUAGGACUACUCCUUAACUACCAAGAUUGAUAGAUCUUAUUUAGGUAUAUACCCUAUUCCUAUAAUAAAUCUACUGCAAUCAACAUACACCUUAAGGCUCCAUAUGGUCAGAAGAUCAAGUUAUGGUGCGGUCAAACUACAGCAACCUCAUUAUGAAC